rnacentral:rRNA from 1 species
GGGCAGCAAUGGGGAAUAUUGCGCAAUGGACGAAAGUCUGACGCAGCGACGUCGCGUGAGGGAUGAAUGCCUUCGGGUUGUAAACCUCGUUAUAAGCACCGGCAAACUACGUGCCAGCAGCAGCGGUCAUACGUAGGGUGCAAGCAUUACCCGGUUUUACUGGGCGUAAAGAGUCUGUAGGCGGUUGUUCAAGUUGGAAGUUAAAUGUCUCGGCCCAACCGAGAAGCGGCUUUCAAUACUGUUCAACUAAGAGAUAGCUAGGGGGUAACGGAACGUAUGGUGUAGCGGUGAAAUGCGUUGAUAUCAUACGGAACACCUAGGGGGAAGCCAGUUACCUGGGGCUAUUCUGACGCUGAGAGACGAAAGCGUGGGGAGCAAAACGGAUUAGAUACCCGGGUAGUC